UUCCAAACCAAUCAUGAUGGGCCUGUGAUGAAAUACCCCCGAAGGGAGACCCUCACUCAAGCCUCGGGACAGCCGCGGACCCAAGAAAACACUGAGACCG
rnacentral:pre_miRNA from 7 species